rnacentral:lncRNA from 1 species
AUGCCCCGAUCUCAGUUUCUCCAGUACGAUAAUUCUAACAUUACAGACUUCGUCAGAUACCUUGCCUGCCGUGAGAUAGUCAACACUGGCCUGAUCCAGUUCAAUGACCAACCAGAAAGCUACAGAGCCUGGCAACGCUCUUUUUGCAAUGCAGCCAGCAGCUUGAACUUGACACCUAGUGAAGAAAUGGAUCUGCAAGUCAAAUGGCUGGGGAAGGAGUCAACCGAACAUGCUAAAUGCAUGAGGUCAGUACAUAUUAACCAACCUCAUAAGGGUCUCAAAAUGAUAUGGGACAGACUGGAAGAGUGUUAUAGUGCUCCAGAAGUAAUAGAAAGUGCACUGUUUAGACGUGUCAAUAGUUUUCCUAAAAUUUCGAGCAGGGAUUACUCUAAGCUCCAUGAAUUGGGAGACCUCCUUAUGGAAGUGGAGUCAGCUAAAGCAGAUGGGGACCUUCCAGGGCUGUCAUACCUUGAUACAGCCUGGGGCAUCAACCCUAUAGUCCAAAAAGUACCAUUCAAUUUACAAGAGGAGUGGCUAUCAUAUGGUUCCAGCUAUAAAGAGACAUAUCGUGUCCCUUUCCCCCCUUUUUCAGCUUUAGUUGGCUUCAUCUGUCAGCAAGCUAGAAUAAGAAAUGACCCAGGACAAGGAGAGCCACCUCCUAAAGCAGACAAAGGCAUUUGGAAAACAAGUAGACAGAAAGAAAUCUCAGUUUACAAGACUGACUUGUCUCCUGCUCCCAGCAGCAAAGAAAGACAAGAAAAGAAAACUGAAGAUGCUCAAAGACUAUGUCCUAUUCACAAGAGGCCCCACUUGCUCCGAAAAUGCCGUGCCUUGAAGGAAAAGGGCAUCUGUUUCAAAUGCUGCUUAGGCACAUCACACACAGCUAAGAUCUGUAAAUAUAAUGUCACAUGCUCAGAGCAUGGAAGUGAGAAACAUAUUUCUGCACUACAUCCAGGCCCACCACCAAAAGCUCAGGAACCUAACCCUUCACCAAAGUAUGGUGGGGAGGAAGACCCCAUGCUAACAUCAGAAGUGGCAGCUCAUUACACUGAAGUUUGUGGAGGUGAUCUUAGCAGCAGAUCUUGCUCAAAGAUCUGUUCAGUUAACAUCUUUCCCAAUGGCCAUCGUGACAAAGCACUCAAGGUCUAUGUGGUCCCUGACGAGCAAAGCAACAAGUCAUUAGCUCGCUCUGAGUUUUUUGACACAUUCAAGGAAAAAGGCCGAGUUUCUUCAUAUACCCUCAAAACCUGUUCUGGAGUAACAGAGAUACUUGGAAGAAAAGCUUUUGGCUACCAAAUUGAGUCAAUAGAUGGGAAAGUGAGAAUCCCCUUACCAAGUCUACUAGAGUGCAACAACAUCCUUAACAACAGAGCAGAAAUUCCCACACCUACUGCUGCUCGCUAG